rnacentral:miRNA from 1 species
AGCCUGCGCCGGAGCCGGGGCCUGAGCCCAGGCCGCGCCGGCCGAGAACUCGUCGAGCUGCGCGUGCGACCGGUGCUCAGCCU